CACGCCCCCUUUUCCGGCAGAGCCACGCCCCCUAGUUUAAGCCACGCCCACGUUUCGAAAAGCCACGCCCCCAAAGCUCAAAUCCACGCUUCCUUGAGCUGCAGAAAGUGAAUCGGGAGGAGCGGAAGUGAAGGACCGGAAGAGGCUCUGCCCCAUGGCUGCGCCCCCCCCGUCCCCAUUUGUGUCCUCGUUGGAUUUCUGCCCCGACUGCGGCUCUGUGCUGCCCCACAUCGGCCCCACACAAACGGCCCCGCAGUGCCGGCAGUGCGCCUUCACCCCACACAGCAGCGGUAAGGGGGGC
rnacentral:lncRNA from 1 species